GCAAACUUGGUCAUUUAGAGGAAGUAAAAGUCGUAACAAGGUUUCCGUAGGUAAGUUAAAGUUACCCCCCGGGCUCACCGGGCUCCUUGUUAUUCUUUUGUGACACGUCGCUAACAUACGUCUUAUAGGUGAACCUGCGGAAGGAUCAUUAAAGAGUUAGGGUCCCCUGGGCCCGACCUCCCAACCCUCUGUUUACUGAACCUCUGUUGCUUCGGCGGACCCGUCUCACGACCGCCGGAGGACUGCCCCUCAGGCGUCCUCUGGCCAGUGUCCGCCGAUAGCCAACCCUUCAAAACUUCUGAAUAAAUCAUGCUCUAUGUCUAAGUCUUAUGAUUCAAAUCAAUAAAGCAAAACUUUCAACAACGGAUCUCUUGGUUCUGGCAUCGAUGAAGAACGCAGC
rnacentral:misc_RNA from 1 species